rnacentral:misc_RNA from 1 species
GAAUUCUCAUGUUGUAAAUGAUUUAUCAUAAAGAAAAUUUAAAAUUAGCUCUGAUCAAUGGCACAUUUUUAAUAUACUUAGGCUCAAUUGACAUCAAACAAAUACUUUCUGAACUAAAUAAAAAUUUAAGGCAGAGGAUAGGAUUGAUAGUCUGGUAGAAUGAAAAGACACAUAGUUCAAAGUAUUUCAGAUGAUUAAGCGAUAAGGAUGAAAUUAAAUAAUAAUCACAAUACUAAGUAAAAUUUUACAUAAUCAUUCAAUAUACUUUCACUAGCCAUUCCUGCAUGUUCAGAUGAUUUUAUUAUCUUUUUUGGUAUAUAUACUUUUUAUGUGGCAACCCUAUUAGCUUGUGCAGUCAUGGAUCUUUAUUGGUAACAGGGUUAGCAGCUGUGCUGGUCAACGGCAGCCGCGAGGAGCAAACCCAAUUCUUGAAGCGGGGAUGUCAUAAGCAAUGCUAUAUGUCUGUUGUUGAUGAUUUCCAAUAAUUGCAAUUUGGUUGCUACUCGCAAAGGCCAAACAAGUGACACCCUUAUCAGCUUCUAACAAGAUGUUUGGGGCUCCAAGAGAGAGGUCUGCGCCUCCUUGAAAAAUCAUUUGAAUCCCAGGCGUAGCCGACAGGCUCUUGAGACUUCCCUUGAAGCAUGUGUCCAGUAUGGAAUAUCCAGGGGCUUGUGCGUAUCUCUUGGACAUGAGCUUUACGAAAGCCUCCUUAAGUGGAGCAUAAAUGGACAUUGGCAGUCGCGUGAUAACAGUUCCAGAGUCUAUGAUGGUGGGGACCUGGUAACCAGCAGGGGCCACUCCCAGAGGCCUACCACCGACGGUAAUUGCUGCCAGCCUCAAAAAGUAUAAGCUGGGAUUCUGGGGGUUUCUGAUCAUUGGGGUGAACUUGUAGGGCGAUGGAGAAAUGUUUCCAAUGGACAAGAAGCCCCCUCCAGAAGAGAUAGAAGUGGCUGUGGGAAGGCAAUAGGAGAAGGCAUAUCCGUACUUGGUAGACAACUGGCCUAACAUUGAUAGCUUGUCACGGGCUAGCCCUAUAAUACCUGCUGCUCUACCAAAUAACCCCUCGUUGUCCUCCCCGCAUCCGUAGGUGAACUGGGGCAAGGUCUGUGUUGGUGUUAAGGUCAGUAGAUCUUGACUCAAGUAGCCCAUUGAGUAAGAUGCAUCACCAUAGCUGGCUGUGUACACGCAUGCACCAUUAGCGGCACAAACAGGGUCAUUCAAAGUGGCGGCCUUCAGAGAAGAGCACUGAGGGGUGGCACAUGAUAGCCUCUUGUAGGUCUUAGAUGCAGAGGGUUCAAACAGAGGAUCUACCUGGCUAUGACAGUAUACAACACAAGGCUGACACUGAAGCCAGGAGAGGGAGCUACCUGUGUCGAUGAUCAUGGCAUAGUAUUUGGGAGGGGAACCGAGGCCUAACUUCACAUAGUAAUUAGCAGAGCCGAUAGACAAACCAGGACUCAAUGGGACGCUGGCAGAAUUUGGUUCCAGGAGAUGUCCGGAUUUGUGGUGUGGGACCGAGGCAUUCCGUACACUUCCCUUCACUAGUCUGUGUCUAAGAUACUUUACACGUUCUUCAUCAUGCGUGAGUACAUCACUGAGAGAUGUGGAAGAAUUGGGAGAGAGAGAGGAGCCAGGUCCAUGGACAUGGAAUAAGUUGAGCUGUAUGCUAGACUGACUGGCUGAUGACUUAUAUUCUGCAAAAUUUUCAUUUAUUAUACCAAGUCCAUUUUUAAAGAUGUGCAAUAUUUAUACCAACAAAUAAUAUUCACAUAAACUUGGAAAGCUUAUACAGAAAAGAGAAAAUUACAUGCCUUGAAGUUCUGCCAGAGAUGUUGCAAGGAGAUAGAAAGUAAGAAACCAGGCCAGCGCCAUCUCAGGGAUUUUUCUUGCUUUUGCUCUCCCUUAAUUAUAUAAAAGAAAAAGCAGCAGCUCAGAGACACUGGAGAAGAUAAUAAAGGGUUUAUAAAUGAUAAUUAAUUAGCUGGAAAAUGUAAAAGCCAUCGCAUUCUGCCAACCAACGGAGUCAUGGAAUAAGUUGGGGAGAUGGGAGGUGAGGUGCAUUAAUAACUAUCAUAUACGUGAUAUCUCGGAGCUUUUCCAUUAGAGAUUGUUUCCAAUGUUAUUUGAUUAUUCCCUUUUUUUUUUUUUUUUGUUGGCCUUGGGUUCAAAAGUUUAGAAGUUUUGGUUUAACAAUGUCAAUGUUAUGAUUUGAUAAUGGCACUUCAUAUCAUGUGUCAUUAUAUAUGAACUACCAUGCCUAGGAGGUAACUUCACUACCUGAACCCAUGGGAACCCUCUGGGCGUGCUUGCAUUUGCAUGCCACUCUUGAUCAUCAUUGCGAGCUUAUGUAUCUGAUAUUGAACUCUACUCAUCAACCUCCAGAUUUAUGAGCUUCCUUCCAAGUUGCAUAAUAGGUGAUGAAAUUAAAGAAACAUGGGGUUGGCAUUUGGUAAUACACGUUGCCAUGAAACAAGC